AAAUUGAAGAGUUUGAUCAUGGCUCAGAUUGAACGCUGGCGGCAGGCCUAACACAUGCAAGUCGAACGGUAACAGRAAGCAGCUUGCUGCUUUGCUGACGAGUGGCGGACGGGUGAGUAAUGUCUGGGAAACUGCCUGAUGGAGGGGGAUAACUACUGGAAACGGUAGCUAAUACCGCAUAACGUCGCAAGACCAAAGAGGGGGACCUUCGGGCCUCUUGCCAUCGGAUGUGCCCAGAUGGGAUUAGCUAGUAGGUGGGGUAAMGGCUCACCUAGGCGACGAUCCCUAGCUGGUCUGAGAGGAUGACCAGCCACACUGGAACUGAGACACGGUCCAGACUCCUACGGGAGGCAGCAGUGGGGAAUAUUGCACAAUGGGCGCAAGCCUGAUGCAGCCAUGCCGCGUGUAUGAAGAAGGCCUUCGGGUUGUAAAGUACUUUCAGCGGGGAGGAAGGGAGUAAAGUUAAUACCUUUGCUCAUUGACGUUACCCGCAGAAGAAGCACCGGCUAACUCCGUGCCAGCAGCCGCGGUAAUACGGAGGGUGCAAGCGUUAAUC
rnacentral:rRNA from 1 species